AGCAAUGUAGCUUGGUGGAAAGAGCAUGGGCCUGGGGGUCAGAGGACCUGGGUUCCAAUCCCAGCUCUGCCA
rnacentral:tRNA from 1 species